GGCGAGGAAAAUUAAUAGCACAUGGGGUUUGUUACCUGGUUAAGUCCUAUUCUAAAUAGGACUCAUGAUUCUUGGUCAAACUCUAAUUAAUUCUUAAAUCCAAUCCUAACUGACUUAGGAAUUAGUUAUAACAAACAAAUUAAUUAGGUUCUAACCUAAUUAAAAAUUAAUUAAGCCCUAAUAUAAUUAAAAAAAUAAUUAAAUUAAAAUCUCAUCAAUCUAAGGAUU
rnacentral:lncRNA from 1 species